CAGCAGCCGCGGGAACACCAAGGGUGCAAGCGUUAAUCGGAAUUACUGGGCGUAAAGCGUGCGCAGGCGGUUUGUUAAGACAGAUGUGAAAUCCCCGGGCUCAACCUGGGAACUGCAUUUGUGACUGGCAAGCUAGAGUGUGGCAGAGGGGGGUGGAAUUCCGCGUGUAGCAGUGAAAUGCGUAGAUAUGCGGAGGAACACCGAUGGCGAAGGCAGCCCCCUGGGCCAACACUGACGCUCAUGCACGAGAGCGUGGGGAGCAAACAGGAUUAGAUACCCCUGUAGUCCCUGUCUCUUAUAA
rnacentral:rRNA from 1 species